AGUCAGAGCAAUGCUGGAUUUGACUGAGAUGCUAAUCUGAUGUCACGCAACACUCAUUGCCAUAUUGUUUAUGACCGCAGAUAAUAAACUACAUUGUGACAGCCAG